ACGGAGGGAGCUAGCGUUGUUCGGAAUUACUGGGCGUAAAGCGUACGUAGGCGGUUAUUCAAGUCAGAGGUGAAAGCCUGGAGCUCAACUCCAGAACUGCCUUUGAAACUAGAUAGCUAGAAUCACGGAGAGGUGAGUGGAAUUCCGAGUGUAGAGGUGAAAUUCGUAGAUAUUCGGAAGAACACCAGUGGCGAAGGCGGCUCACUGGACGUGUAUUGACGCUGAGGUACGAAAGCGUGGGGAGCAAACAGGAUUAGAUACCCUGGUAGUCCACGCCGUAAACGAUGAUAACUAGCUGCCAGGGUUCACAGAACUUUGGUGGCGCAGCUAACGCAUUAAGUUAUCCGCCUGGGGAGUACGGUCGCAAGAUUA
rnacentral:rRNA from 1 species